AUGGCCAUUGUCCUGCCAGACAGAAAUGUUGCCCAACCACCCGUGGCCGUGCAUGCAGUGAACCUCAGGGCCAGGGAACGGGCCAGGGAACGGGCCAGGGAACGGGCCAGGGAACGGGCCAGGGAACGGGCCAGGGAACGGGCCAGGGAACGGGCCAGGGAACGGGCCAGGGCCAGGGAAUGGGCCAGGGCCAGGGAAUGGGCCAGGGCCAGGGAAUGGGCCAGAGACAGGGAAUGGGCCUGGGCCAGGGCCAGGGGAUGGGCCGGGGGAUGGGGCAAGGCCAGGGCCACAGAAUGGGCCAGGGCCAGGGAAUGGGUAAUGGCUUGGGCCAGGGCACGGGACAGGGAGCGGGCCAGGGGACGGGCGCGGGAACGGGCCAGGGAAGGGGCCAGGGAAAGGGCCAGGGGAAGGGCCAGGGCGCGGGCAAGGGCCGGGGCCAGGGCCGGGGCGAGGGGAUGGGGGAGGGCGCGGGCGGGGGGCUGGGCCAGGGCCGGGGCGAGGGGAUGGGGGAGGGCGCGGGCGGGGGGCUGGGCCAGGGCCAGGGCCCGGGAAUGGGCCAGGGCCAGGGCCAGGGAAUGGGCCAGGGCCAGGGCGACGGGCCGGGACAGGGCCAGGGCCCGGGGAAGCGCCAGGGCCAGGGCCAGUGCCAGGGCCUGGGAAUGGGCCAGGGCUAGGGCCAGGGAGAGGGAAUGGGCCAGGGAGAGGGCCAGGGCAUGGGCCCGGGCCCGGGCCAGGGAAGGGGCCGGGGGCGGGGAACGCGGCAGGGCGAGGGACCGGGCCCGGGAACGGGCCAGGGAACGGGACAGGGAACGGGCCAGGGUCAGGGAAUGGGCCAGGGCUAGGGCCAGGGAGAGGGAAUGGGCCAGGGAACGGGCCAAGGCCAGGGGAAGGGCCAGGGCCCGGGCAUGGGCCAGGGUCAGGGGAGGGGCCAGGGGCAGGGCCAGAGAAUGGGCCAGGGCAAGGGCCAGCGCACGGGACAGGGCCGGGGCCGGGGAAUGGGCCAGGGGCAGGGAAUGGGCCAGGGCGAGGGCCAGGGAAUGGCCCAGGGCCCGGGCCAGGGCCUGGGAAUGGGGCAGGGCCAGGGUAGGGGCCAGGGCAGGGGUCAAGGCCAGGGCCACGGAAUGGGCCAGGGGCAGGGGAUGGGCCAGGGCUAGGGACAGGGAAUGGGACAGGGAAUGGGCCAGGGGCAGGGGAGGGGGCAGGGCCAGGGGCGGGGCCAGGGCAUGGGGCGGGGCCAGGGGAGGGGCCGGGGCGAGGGCAGGGGGCAGGGCCAGGGGCGGGGCCAGGGCCAGGGCAUGGCCCACGGCCAGGGCAACGCCCAGGGAAUGGGCCAGGUCCAGGGCCAGGGAAUGGGUCAGGGUCAGGGUAUGGGGCAGGGGAUGGGUCAAGGCCAGGGCCGCAGAAUGGGCCAGGGCCACGGACUGGGCCAGGGCCAGGGCAUGGGCCAAGGCCAGGGAAUGGGCCAGAGCCAGGGAAUCGGCCAUGGCCAGGGGCAGGGAAAGGGCCAGGGGGAGUGCCUGGGCAGGGGACAGGGCCAGGGCCUGGGUCAAGGCCAGGGCCGCAGAAUGGGCCAGGGCCACGGUCUGGGCCAGGGUCAGGGAAUGGGCCAGGGCCAGGGCCAGGGAAAGGGCCAGGGCCAGGGAAAGGGCCAGGGCCAGGGCCAGGGACAGGGCCAGGGCCAGGGAGUGGGCCAGGGACAGGGCCAGGGAAUGGGCCAGGGCCAGGGAAUGGGCCAGGGAAUGGGCCAGGGUCAGGGUAUGGGCCAGGGUAUGGGUCAAGGCCAGGGCCACAGAAUGGGCCAGGGCCACGGUCGGUGAUGUGGUCAGGGAAACUGGUCUUUGA
rnacentral:lncRNA from 12 species